GACGAACGCUGGCGGCGUGCUUAACACAUGCAAGUCGAACGGAAAGGCCCUGCUUGCAGGGUACUCGAGUGGCGAACGGGUGAGUAACACGUGGGCGAUCUGCCCUGCACUUCGGGAUAAGCUUGGGAAACUGGGUCUAAUACCGGAUAGGAGCCAUCUUUAGCGUGGUGGUUGGAAAGUUUUUUCGGUGUAGGAUGAGCUCGGGGCCUAUCAGCUUGUUGGUGGGGUAAUGGCCUACCAAGGCGGCGACGGGUAGCCGGCCUGAGAGGGUGUACGGCCACAUUGGGACUGAGAUACGGCCCAGACGCCUACGGGAGGCAGCAGUGGGGAAUAGUGCACAAUGGGCGCAAGCCUGAUGCAGCGACGCCGCGUGGGGGAUGAAGGCCUUCGGGUUGUAAACUCCUUUCGCGAGGGACGAAGCGUUGUUGUGACGGUACCUAGAUAAGAAGCACCGGCUAACUACGUG
rnacentral:rRNA from 1 species